rnacentral:rRNA from 1 species
AGAGUUUGAUCAGUGGCUCGAGGACGAACGCUGGCGGCAUGCCUAACACAUGCAAGUCGAACGGAGUUAAAUCGAGCUUGCUUGAUUUAACUUAGUGGCGGACGGGUGAGUAACGCGUGAGCAACCUGCCUUUCAGUGGGGAAUAAUGUUCUGAAAAGAGCACUAAUACCGCAUAAUGUAUAAGUAUCGCAUGGUACAUAUACCAAAGAUUUAUCGCUGAGAGAUGGGCUCGCGUCCGAUUAGCCGGUUGGUGGGGUAAUGGCCUACCAAAGCGACGAUCAAUAGCCGGCCUGAGAGGGUGAACGGCCACAUUGGAACUGAGACACGGUCCAAACUCC